UACAGAGGUCUCAAGCGUUGUUCGGAUUCAUUGGGCGUAAAGGGUGCGUAGGCGGUGGUGUAAGUUGGAUGUGAAAUCUUGAGGCUUAACCUCAAAAUUGCAUUCAAUACUGCUCCGCUCGAGUUCUGUAGAGGAGAUUGGAAUUUACGGUGUAGCAGUGAAAUGCGUAGAUAUCGUAAGGAACGCCAGUGGCGAAAGCGAAUCUCUGGGCAGCAACUGACGCUGAGGCACGAAGGCCAGGGGAGCAAACGGGAUUAGAAACCCCCGUAGUCC
rnacentral:rRNA from 1 species